rnacentral:pre_miRNA from 1 species
CAACUACUCCCUCAGCCCUGAAUUACUUCUCUUACAUUUGUCUACAUACAUAUGUAUUUAGACAUGUUUUAGUGCUAGAUACAUCCGCAUCUCAAUAAAUCUAAUACAAGUAAUUUGGGGCGAAGGUAAUAUUUG